UUAUUCAACAAACAAAGCACUCCCCAGCACCAAAACAAUUAACGACACUAGAUGACAACAAAACUCUUUCACCCCUCUGAAGAGAUGAACAAAUCCAGAAGGUCUUUCCUGGGAGUGGUCGCCCGGGUCUGGACGCUGGGGAUUGCUCUCCAGCACUGGGGAUGGCUGCUGCAGAUCACCAAAUGCAGGCUCCUGGUGUUCCUUGGUGUUUCCUAGAUCCCAGUCCAGAGCAGGUUGGAUGAUAUUCAGAAAGAGGAAAGGAAAAAAGCAACAGUCCAGGGAAAGAAUUGGACUGCUUAACCUAACUAGGAAGCAAAGCAAGAAAGCAGGUAAAGCAAGCAAGCCAAGCAAGCAGCAAGCAAAGCAAAAGCCAGUCAGCCAGCCCUAGCCUUUUCUAGACAGCAGACCAUGGGGGGAGGUGAACCAGAUGAUAACGCGGCAAAACAAACCUUCACUUUCAGAGUCAGUUCUGAAAGCACAGAACAUAGUAUCAAACAUAAACAGAACACACGAUUGGAGAUACAAACACCAUAACAGUCACCCUAGGACAUUCCACCCCUUAUCUCCAUAUCUUCAACAUCAUGUAAAAACUCCAUCAAGUUAAAACUUGUAUCUUUCACUUACUCAUACCUUCGACACUUACACAUUUCCUUCUAUUUCACUUGCUCAAACCUUUGACACUUACACAUUUCCUUCUAUUUCAUGUCUGUGUGCUUUCAUGCACAGACAUUGGCAGUAACAUCCAGCAAACAGUGAUAUUUGCACAAUAGUUUCACCCCACAAUCAGAUCUCCCUGAGGUACACAUCGUGUUGUUCCAUCUCUCUGCAUUAUCCACCAUGUACAACCUGGUCCCUGAGCAAAGACAAUCCCACAAAUGGGUUUGUCUGUACUCGAGGCAGGAUUGAUCCACACUGAUUUCCCUAACAAACCUCUGACAUGUGCCACUGGGACUUUAUCUCCGUCUACUAUAUUCAGGGGCUCAGACUGGGCAGGACCUGCUCGAUUGGUGGAACCUCGGCUGUUAACUAACCAGGUGGCCUUUGCUAAAUGUUGCUCCCAAUUUUUGAAAGAUCCCCCACCCAAUGCUUUUAAGGUGGUUUUUAACAGUCCAUUGUACCUCUCCACUUUGCCUGCAGCUGGUGCAUGGUAGGGGAUGUGGUACACCCACUCAAUGCCAUGUUCCCUAGCCCAGGUGUUGAUAAGGUUGUUCUUGAAAUGAGUCCCAUUGUCUGACUCAAUCCUCUCAGGGGUACCAUGCCUCCAAAGGACCUGCUUUUCAAGGCCCAGGAUGGUGUUACGGGCUGUAGCAUGAGACACAGGGUAGUUUUCCAACCAUCCAGUGGUGGCUUCUACCAUUGUGAGCACGUAGCGCUUGCCUUGGCGUGUCUGGGGCAGUGUGAUGUAAUCAAUCUGCCAGGCCUCCCCAUACUUGUACUUGGACCACCGCCCACCAUACCACAGGGGCUUCACCCGCUUGGCCUGUUUGAUGGUAGCGCAUGUCUCACAGUCAUGGAUAACCUGAGAAAUACUGUCCAUGGUUAGAUCCACCCCUCGGUCUCGUGCCCCCUUAUAAGUGGCAUCUCUACCCUGAUGGCCUGAGGCAUCAUGGGCCCAUCGUGCUAGGAACAACUCUCCCUUGUGUUCCCAGUCGAGGUCUAUCUUUGAUACCCCUAUCUUCGCAGCCUGAUCUACCUGCUGAUUGUUUUGCUGCUCUUCAUUAGCUCUGCUUCUGGGGACAUGGGCAUCUACAUGGCGAACCUUCACAGGUAGCUUCUCUACCCGGGUAGCGAUAUCUUUCCACUCUUCAGCAGCCCAAAUUGGUUUUCCUCUACGCUGCCAGUUAGCUUCUUUCCACCUCUCUAGCCACCCCCACAGAGCAUUGGCUACCAUCCAUGAAUCAGUGUAGAGGUAGAGCUUUGGCCACCUCUCCCUUUCUGCAAUGUCUAGGGCCAGUUGAACGGCUUUGAGUUCAGCAAACUGGCUUGAUCCACCUUCUCCUUCAGUGGCCUCUGCAACCCAUCGUGUGGGACUCCAUACAGCUGCUUUCCACUUCCGAUUCAUCCCUACGAUGCGACAGGAACCGUCAGUGAAGAGAGCAUAGCGUGUUUCCUCUGCUCGCAGUUGGUUGUAUGGUGGAGCUUCUUCAGCCCGUGUCACUGGUUCUUCUUCUUCAUCUGCGACACCAAAACUUUCACCUUCGGGCCAAUUUGUAAUUACUUCCAAAAUCCCAGGGCGAUUCAGCUUACCAAUAUGGGCACGCUGCGUAAUGAGAGCAAUCCACUUGCUCCAUGUAGCACUGGUGGCAUGGUGGGUGGAGGGAACCUUUCCUCUGAACAUCCACCCCAGCACCGGUAGUCGGGGUGCCAGGAGGAGUUGUGCUUCUGUGCCAAUCACCUCUGAGGCGGCCUGGACUCCCUCGUAGGCGGCCAAGAUUUCCUUCUCUGUUGGGGUGUAGUUAGCUUCAGACCCUCUGUAGCUCCGACUCCAAAAUCCCAGUGGUCGGCCCCGAGUCUCAUCAGGCACCUUCUGCCAAAGGCUCCAGGACAGACCAUGGUUCCCGGCUGCAGAGUAGAGCACGUUCUUCACAUCUGGUCCUGUCCUGACUGGGCCAAGGGCUACUGCAUGAGCAAUUUCCUGCUUUAUCUGGGCAAAAGCUUGCUGCUGCUCAGGGCCCCAGCAGAAAUCAUUCUUCUUGCGGGUGACCAGGUAGAGGGGACUCACGAUCUGACUGUACUCAGGAAUAUGCAUUCUCCAAAAACCAAUGGCGCCUAAGAAAGCUUGUGUCUCUUUCUUGUUGGUUGGUGGGGACAUGGCUGUGAUCUUGUUGAUGACAUCUGUAGGAAUCUGACGCCGUCCAUCUUGCCACUUCACUCCCAAGAACUGGAUCUCUCGAGCAGGUCCCUUCACUUUACUCUUCUUGAUGGCGAAACCAGCUUCCAGGAGGAUUCGGAUGAUUUUCUCUCCUUUCUCAAACACUUCUGCUGCUGUGUUCCCCCACACAAUGAUAUCAUCAAUAUAUUGUAGAUGUUCUGGAGCCUCACCCUUUUCUAGUGCAGUCUGGAUCAGUCCAUGGCAGAUGGUAGGACUGUGCUUCCACCCCUGGGGCAGUCGGUUCCAGGUAUACUGCACUCCCCUCCAUGUAAAGGCAAACUGAGGCCUGCAUUCUGCUGCCAGAGGAAUGGAGAAAAAUGCAUUGGCAAUAUCAAUAGUGGCGUACCACUUCGCUGCCUUGGACUCCAGCUCGUACUGGAGUUCCAGCAUGUCUGGCACAGCAGCGCUCAGUGGUGGAGUCACUUCAUUCAAUGCACGGUAGUCCACAGUCAAUCUCCAUUCUCCUUCAGAUUUACGCACAGGCCAAAUGGGGCUGUUGAAGGGUGAGUGGGUUUUGCUGACCACCCCUUGGCUCUCCAGCUCUCGGAUCAUCUUAUGGAUGGGAACCACAGCAUCUCGAGUUGUUCUGUACUGUCGACGAUGCACUGUUGAAGUGGCAACUGGUACCUUUUGUUCUUCUCCCUUCAAAAGUCCUACUGUAGUUGGAUUCUCAGACAGUCCAGGCAAGGUGUUCAGUUGCUGGAUGCCCUCUGUCGCUACAGCUGCUAUCCCAAAUGCCCACUUGAGUCCCUUUGGGUCUUUAAAAUACCCCCUUCGAAGGUAAUCUAUGCCCAAAAUACAUGGGGCCUCUGGGCCAGUCACAAUAGGGUGUUUCUUCCACUCAUUUCCUGUCAGACUUACAUCAGCUUCCACCACGGUAAAGUCCUGUGAUCCACCUGUCACACCGGCGAUAGAGACAGAUUCUGCCCCUACGUGUCUCAAUGGAAUUAACGUGCAUUGUGCACCAGUAUCAACCAAAGCCUUAUAUCUUUGUGGGUCCGAUGUGCCAGGCCAGCGAAUCCACACAGUCCAGAAAACACGGUUUUCCCUCGCCUCUACCUGGCUAGAGGCAGGGCCCCUCUAAGCCUGGUUAUCCUUCUUGCCUUGGGCGUAUGUCUUAGAGGUUCCUUCAAGGGGGUCAGACAUGUCAUCAUCAUCAUCAUGCCUGGCAGUUUGGCUACGGGCAACUGGAGCUGCUCUCCUUUUGGUGGCACUUCCUCUCUGAGUCUUACCUUCCUUCAAUUCAUGCACCCGUUGUGCCAGAGCACCAGUAGGUUUUCUGUCCCAUUUCCUCAUGUUUUCUCCGCAAUCGCGCAGGAAGAACCACAGCUCAGUUCGUGGGGUGUACCUUCUCUCACCAUCUGAGGAACGUCUACGUUGGAUACCAGAACCUCUGAUCUGUACUGCUGAGAUUUGGAGAAGGUCCUCCUUUAUCUCCUCCCUGAGUCUCUUAUGAUUCUCCUCUAUCUUAUCUUCUAAUUUCUGCAGACGUGUUUCCACUGCUGCAAUUCUGGCAUGGGUUGGGCUAUGUACAGCAUCUGCAUAUGCUCGGAGUUUCCUUGCCAUUUCGAGCACGGUCUCAUCCCUCUCAUCUUGCUUCAUUAUUGCUAAGGCAGAAGCGUAGUCAUGUGGCCCAAGCUGUACAAGUUUUCGCCACAUCACAGAUGUACAUGGUACCAAGUCUGGAUUCCUAGUUGUUAUUUCAUCUGAGAAGAUAAUCUCUGCCACUGCCAUUUCUCUCAGACAUUGGAUCCCUUGUUCUAUAGUCUUCCACUGGGUUUGCUGCAUAUAAAGAUCAUCUGCACACAGGUAUCUUUGUGCUACACUUUCCAGAACCUGUGCCCAGAGGCUGUGAGGGUUAGCCCCCCUCAUCAUUCCUUGAUCAAUGACAGGAUCAUGUGACAGGGAUCCCAAAUGUCUUGCCUCAGUACCAUCCAGAAUUGUAGCCUCGCCUGCUGCAUCCCAAAGACGGACCAACCAACUAAUUACAGACUCAUCAGGUCGUCGGGUAUAAUCCUUCCUCAGGCCACGAAGGUCCUUUAGGGAAAAGGACUCAGUAUUGGCCUCCGAUCUUGUACCAGUUGCUUUGACUUCUGAUUUUAUGUCAGCAGGCAUUGAGGGUCCCUCUCCUGCAUUAUCAUCAUCAUCGUCAUCAUCCACUGGUCGAUUGGUCUUUUCUGUGCGCUUCCCACUUCUUGUGCUAGUAGCAACAGCCAUUGGUUGAGGCUUGGCUGAUGAGUCUGGUUUAGCUGCUAGCCUAGGCUCACUGUCUUGUUUAGCUGCUGGCUUUGAGCCGGGGGUGUUUGCUGCAGCCUGAGUGACUGGGAUAGCUGCUGAUUUAUCUCCCUGCCCCCCUUCCUCUGUCUGCUGCCCUACAGUAUCUAGCAGGGUGCGAUAAGCAUAUGCCAGGGCCCAGCUCACUGCAAUGAUCUUUUUCUCCUUAGAGUUAUCAUGGCACUUCUCUUUCAAGUACUUCGCCACCUCAGCCGGAUUCUGAAUUUGUUCACUAGGAAAGUCCCAGGCUAUAGGGUCAGAAAAUUCCUUUAAGAUUUGGCCCAUAUCCUCCCAUUUCCCACACCACUCAGGAUUUCUCACACCUGGGUCUACUCCUGGGUCAGAGGUCUCAUCAGCCCCUCUAGAAAUUUCAGCCCUCAUGCUAGAGAGACUGCAGACUGUAUAGAGAAAGCUUACCAGAUUAAAGACCAGGAAGAUGGUCUCCUUAACAGUCAGGGGAAACUGAACAUUCUCUAAUAGGGAGGUAACAAAUUCAGAGGAGAAGAAGGAAAGCAAAGGCUGAAAAGCCUCAUCCCCUACUUCCCCUCUAACAAACUGGCUGUACAACCAUAACCAUGAACCAUACAUUCCAGGAACAGACCUCAGCACCUUUAUAAACCCUCUGGAAGCUAUUACACCCAAGCACAUCACGAUGGAUAUUCUGGUCAGUGCCCUUCUACUGCAAAACCUACGUAUUAGGGACAAUACUGGAGCUAUUCCUGGAUAAAAAAAUAAACCUAGGGACCAUAGGGGAAUUAAGAUCGCAAAAACCCCUAGGGACCAGAGACACAUGCAGGCCUUCACCCCAAGAGACAAUAUUAAUUCAAACAACAUAACCAGUAACUGCUCCAUACCCAGACAAAAUAAUUGGAACAAAAAUAUGAUUACAACAGGGUUUUUUCCACUCUCUCGAGCCCCACGUUGGGCGCCAAAAUAUUUGUCCUAGUUUAGGGCAAAUUUGGGGAAAACCCUCUGAAGGGAGCCCCCAGGAAAUAAACCCCCACGGCCCCUCCCCACCCACCUGGUUCAGGGAAAAAUUUCCUCUGAGAGGGAAGUGGAAAAGAACCUGUUUAUUCAACAAACAAAGCACUCCCCAGCACCAAAACAAUUAACAACACUAGAUGACAACAAAACUCUUUCACCCCUCUGAAGAGAUGAACAAAUCCAGAAGGUCUUUCCUAGGAGUGGUCGCCCGGGUCUGGACGCUGGGGAUGGCUGCUGCAGAUCACCAAAUGCAGGCUCCUGGUGUUCCUUGGUGUUUCCCAGAUCCCAGUCCAGAGCAGGUUGGAUGAUAUUCAGAAAGAGGAAAGGAAAAAAGCAACAGUCCAGGGAAAGAAUUGGACUGCUUAACCUAACUAGGAA
rnacentral:lncRNA from 1 species